GACUCAAAGAAAGUUAAAGGAACACAACAAAAACUCAUCAUAUCUUUUUAUACUUUUUAAUAUUUCUCUUAUUCAUCAUCAUGUUAGGUCAACUUGUGGGUGGAUUAAUUGGUGGCCAUCAUGACUCAAAGAAAGUUAAAGGAACUGUGGUGAUGAUGAAGAAAAAUGCUCUAGAUUUUACUGAUCUUGCUGGCUCUUUGACUGAUAAAAUCUUUGAAGCCCUUGGCCAAAAGGUUUCUUUUCAAUUAAUUAGUUCUGUUCAAAGUGAUCCUGCAAAUGGCUUACAAGGGAAACAUAGUAAUCCAGCCUAUUUGGAGAACUUUCUCCUUACUCUAACACCAUUAGCAGCUGGUGAAACAGCCUUUGGUGUCACAUUUGAUUGGAAUGAGGAGUUUGGAGUUCCAGGUGCAUUUGUCAUAAAAAAUAUGCAUAUCAAUGAGUUCUUUCUCAAGUCACUCACACUUGAAGAUGUGCCUAAUCAUGGCAAGGUCCAUUUUGUUUGCAAUUCUUGGGUUUAUCCUUCUUUUAGAUACAAAUCAGAUAGAAUUUUCUUUGCAAAUCAGCCAUAUCUCCCAAGUGAAACACCAGAGCUUUUGCGAAAAUACAGAGAAAAUGAAUUGGUAACAUUAAGAGGAGAUGGAACUGGAAAGCGCGAGGCGUGGGAUAGGAUUUAUGACUAUGAUGUCUACAAUGACUUAGGUAAUCCUGAUCAAGGUAAAGAAAAUGUUAGAACUACCUUAGGAGGUUCUGCUGACUACCCGUAUCCUCGGAGAGGAAGAACUGGUAGACCACCAACACGAACAGAUCCUAAAAGUGAAAGCAGGAUUCCACUUAUUCUGAGCUUAGACAUCUAUGUACCGAGAGACGAGCGUUUUGGUCACUUGAAGAUGUCAGACUUCCUAACAUAUGCAUUGAAAUCCAUUGUUCAAUUCAUCCUCCCUGAAUUACAUGCCUUGUUUGAUGGUACCCCUAACGAGUUCGAUAGUUUUGAGGAUGUACUUAGACUAUAUGAAGGAGGGAUCAAACUUCCUCAAGGACCUUUAUUUAAAGCUCUUACUGAUGCUAUUCCUCUAGAGAUGAUAAGAGAACUCCUUCGAACAGACGGUGAAGGAAUAUUGAGAUUUCCAACUCCUCUAGUGAUAAAAGAUAGUAAAACCGCGUGGAGGACUGAUGAAGAAUUUGCAAGAGAAAUGCUAGCUGGAGUUAAUCCUGUUAUAAUUAGUAGACUUGAAGAAUUUCCUCCAAAAAGCAAGCUAGAUCCUGAACUAUAUGGAAAUCAAAACAGUACAAUUACUGCAGAACACAUAGAGGGUAAGCUGGAUGGACUAACGAUUGAUGAGGCGAUCAACAGUAAUAAACUUUUCAUAUUGAACCAUCAUGAUGUUCUUAUACCAUAUUUGAGGAGGAUAAACACUACAACAACGAAAACAUAUGCCUCGAGAACUUUGCUAUUCUUGCAAGAUAAUGGAUCUUUGAAGCCACUAGCAAUUGAAUUGAGUUUGCCACAUCCAGAUGGAGAUCAAUUUGGUGUUACUAGUAAAGUGUAUACUCCAAGUGAUCAAGGUGUUGAGGGCUCUAUCUGGCAAUUGGCUAAAGCUUAUGUUGCGGUGAAUGACUCUGGUGUUCAUCAACUGAUUAGUCAUUGGUUGAAUACACAUGCUGUGAUCGAGCCAUUUGUGAUUGCAACAAACAGGCAACUAAGUGUGCUUCACCCUAUUCAUAAGCUUCUAUAUCCUCAUUUCCGGGACACAAUGAAUAUUAAUGCUUUGGCAAGACAGAUCCUAAUCAAUGCUGGUGGAGUUCUUGAGAGUACAGUUUUCCCUUCCAAAUUUGCCAUGGAAAUGUCAGCUGUCGUUUACAAAGACUGGGUCUUCCCUGAUCAAGCCCUUCCAGCUGAUCUUGUUAAGAGGGGAGUAGCAGUUGAGGACUCGAGUUCUCCUCAUGGUGUUCGUUUACUGAUAGAUGACUAUCCAUACGCUGUUGAUGGCUUAGAAAUCUGGUCUGCAAUCAAAAGUUGGGUGACAGAUUACUGCAGUUUCUACUACGGAUCGAAUGAAGAGAUUUUGAAAGACAAUGAACUACAAGCGUGGUGGAAGGAAGUCCGAGAAGUGGGACAUGGUGACAAGAAAAAUGAACCAUGGUGGGCUGAAAUGGAAACACCACAAGAGCUAAUCGAUUCGUGUACAACCAUCAUCUGGAUAGCUUCUGCACUUCAUGCAGCAGUCAAUUUCGGGCAGUAUCCUUAUGCAGGUUACCUCCCAAAUCGUCCCACAGUAAGUCGAAAAUUCAUGCCUGAACCAGGUACUCCUGAAUACGAAGAGCUAAAGAAAAACCCCGAUAAGGCAUUCUUGAAAACCAUCACAGCGCAGUUACAAACAUUGCUUGGUGUUUCCCUCAUAGAGAUAUUGUCAAGGCAUACCACAGAUGAGAUAUACCUCGGACAACGAGAGUCUCCUGAAUGGACAAAGGACAAAGAACCACUCGCUGCUUUCGAAAGAUUUGGAAAUAAGUUAACAGACAUUGAAAAACAGAUUAUGCAGAGGAAUGGUAACAACAUAUUGACAAACAGAACAGGCCCCGUUAACGCUCCGUAUACGUUGCUGUUCCCAACAAGUGAAGGUGGACUUACAGGCAAAGGAAUUCCAAACAGUGUGUCAAUAUAGAAGAGUUUUGAGUACACAUGAAAAUGAAGAAAGCUGGAGUUUGAAUGAAUCUUCAAAUAAAAUUGAUCAUUACUGUAUGUUCAUUUCUCCUAAGUUUACUGUAUUUUCUUUUCAACCUUACUUGUUAUGUAAUUCUCAGUAUGUUGUGAGAAUAAUAAAACUAAUUCCAGCUGAAAAGUUUCAAUAUAUUUUGCAAUUAAGCA
rnacentral:misc_RNA from 1 species